GACUAACGCUGGCGGCGUGCCUAACACAUGCAAGUCGAACGGACUGUAGCAAUACAGUUAGUGGCAGACGGGUGAGUAACACGUAGACAACGUACCCCUCCGCUGGGGAUAGCCACUGGAAACGGUGGGUAAAACCGAAUAGUCUUAUAUUGCGGCAUCGUGAUGUAAGUAAAACUACGGUGUGGAGGGAGCGGUUUGCGUCCUAUUAGCUAGUUGGUGGGGUAAUGGCCCACCAAGGCGACGAUGGGUAGCCGGUCUGAGAGGAUGAUCGGCCACA
rnacentral:rRNA from 1 species